CCUACGGGGGGCAGCAGUGGGGAAUAUUGCACAAUGGGGGAAACCCUGAUGCAGCGACGCCGCGUGAGUGAAGAAGUAUUUCGGUAUGUAAAGCUCUAUCAGCAGGGAAGAAAAUGACGGUACCUGACUAAGAAGCCCCGGCUAACUACGUGCCAGCAGCCGCGGUAAUACGUAGGGGGCAAGCGUUAUCCGGAUUUACUGGGUGUAAAGGGAGCGUAGACGGCGGAACAAGUCAGAAGUGAAAACCCGGGGCUCAACCCUGGGAGUGCUUUUGAAACUGUUUGGCUGGAGUGCAGGAGAGGUAAGCGGAAUUCCUAGUGUAGCGGUGAAAUGCGUAGAUAUUAGGAGGAACACCAGUGGCGAAGGCGGCUUACUGGACUGUAACUGACGUUGAGGCUCGAAAGCGUGGGGAGCAAACAGGAUUAGAUACCC
rnacentral:rRNA from 1 species